rnacentral:lncRNA from 1 species
GAGCAUGCUGUUCAUAAAUUUUAUAUUCAAUACUUUUCCUCACAUACAGGUAGAGGUGGCAAUCCAGCUCCCAGUUCACGAGCUAACUAGUGUUCGACUCGAAAUGAGCUCGAGAUCGAAUCGCUCGUUUAGUAAACGAGCCAAGUACGAACUGAAAUUUUCAGUUCAUUUAAUAAACGAGUUGAAAACAAGUUGGGGUCAGCUCGCUCGUGUUCGACUCGAUAAUAGCUCAAAUCAAUAAAUAAUUUUAUAUAUAUCUAAUAUAUUUUUUUAUUAUUUGAUUUUUAGCCCAACCUAAAUAUAAAGUCCAACUAAAUUAUAAAAUAGUUCAUUUAUAUAUAAAAUUUUAACAAUUAGAUCAAAAUAUAAUAGAUAAGAUCUUAUAAAUAUAUUUCCUACAUGUAUUCUUUCUAAUCCUUUAAAAUUUAUUCAUAAACCAGCUCGUAUUUGGCUCGUGUUCGGCUUGCUAAUAAACGAGCCGAAUAUUUCGGCAUGAUACUUUAACGAGGUGAAACGAGCCUAACACAAGCUGAGCCCAGCUCGCUCGUGUCGGCUCAUUGACACCCCUAUACGUCUAGGCUAUAAACCUUGUUUUAUAGACUUAAGAGCCUAACGGAACUCGAACUCAGAACUUUGUGCUCUGAUGCUAUAUAAAAUAAUAUGAAACAAUUGUUAUUCUUUUUAAGCUUGUAGAGAAGCAUAUUUUGCAGAAUAACGAUUGUUUCAUAUAACUUAACGAUAUCGGAUCAGGAGAUUCUGAGUUCUCUUGGUUUUGAGUCCUGUCAGACUCAUAGUGUGAUUUGAUUUUCUCUUAUUUUAAUAAAGUUCAUAUUUUGAGCUAUCAAAAUUGUAACGCCCCCAAUAAUCCCACAUCUGACAGACCAGGAUCAUUUACCAGGCGAUGUGAGAUUCUAGAUGUGGCUCCUAAGGGUUCAAGAAGUGGGAGCCAUUGAUGUAGCACUUUGUCCCGCAUAGCACUUAGUCUCACACUUUCAGCUGGUAUUCGGUGUUUAGACCUUGACGUCCUCGAUCGUCGGGUCCAAACCAGAUCACAGACAGACAGAGCAGGACCAUUACCACACUUUGUCCCGCAUAGCACUUAGUUUUCACACUUCCGGCUGGUAUUCGGCUCUGAUACCAAUUGAACGACCCGACCCGCUAGCAACAAUAACUCGUUCGGCCGAAACCACCGGCCCAAAAUGCUUAAGCUCAGUUAUUAUUACUAGCGUGUAGACCUCAUAUAAACUGAUCGGAAUCAGUAUCCCAUCCGAUGUGGGACUAUUGGGGCAUUACAAAAAUGUUAUUAGCCCGAAUAUAGAACAGAGUAUUAAAUAUAAAAAUAUA